UGUUAUUUUGAAAAUGUACUUUAUUUUAUAAUAUAACACAACCGUCUUAACACGCUCUUCUAAUUUUCAUAUUACCAAAAUUAAAAUGCCGCAUGUGGAAAUGGGAUAUGUUGCCUCUUCGAAAUUUUCAUAUAAAUGAAAACUGCGCUGUUAAAUUGCUGAAGAGACAGCUUCUAGCGGAGAACGUCUAUCAUAGAGAAGGUUCACGUUUCAAAUACCGUAACUUUUCGAAGGGGUACUCGGCAGAGAUGGAGGAGUCUCACCACAGACCAAUUAUAAGCGUGUUUCACCACAAAAAUAGCAGAACUGAGCAUUUUCAGUGUUAAGUGAGAAAAAUAAUGCUAAUUUCAAUGUAAACAAAUUUACUCCUAGAGCCUUAUUACACACGGCAACUUUUGUUGCGGCAACUCUUAGUUUAUGGGCAAGGGGGCGACGAGGAGAGGAGAAUCGCGCCGAGUUUCCAGUGUUCAGCAACUCGCUUUGUGUUCUUAUUCGUAACAGUUCGCUGCGACGAUUUCGGCAUUCGUGUUCUUUCUUUCGUAGUACAUAGUUGCAUUUGCGUAUAUUUUUUUGAAAUUAAUAUUUUGAAUAUAUUUAAAAAAUUUAAUUUCAUCUUUUGAAAAUGGAGUAUGACGAAAAAAUCGAAUUAAUUAAAGAUAUUGUGAAAUGUAUGGAGGAAGCCAUACAAAUUGAUUCAGACGAUAGUAAAAAGGGUGAUAUAUCUUUGUUUUAAUAAAUAAAAUGUAUUUCUUAAUUGACAGAGCUGAUUAAUAUAUGUGAUAGAGUGGCCCAAAUACCUAUAAGGAAAAAGGAGAGACAAUGGGUUAAAGUAAAGAGUAGACAAUGGGUUAAAGUAAAGUGAAAGAGAAUGAGAAAAAAACUCGAGCAGAGUUGCGCAACACAAGUUGCUCGUGUGAAGGUAAUGGGCGACAGCAAAAGAGAAUCGCCCGAGAAUUAGCAACUAAAGUUGCCCCAUGUAAUCGCAAACCUACAGAUUCGUUUAUUUUCUAUGCGCAACCGACCCGGCAUAUAAUUUAUAUACAUACAUACGUAUGAUCCGUAUAUAAGUAUUUGGUAUCAAAGCAUAUACUUAGUACAUAAGUACAUAUGUACAUAUGUAUGUUAAAAUUAGCCUAUGUAUUUCAUGAUGAUUCCAUAAAAUCAUUAAAAAUAUAUACAUAAUAGAGUAAGGUAUGUAUUAUUACCCAAGUAAUUAAUAUACAUAAAUAGAUUUAUGGUGAUUAGUUUUAAAUUUACACAUUUACAUUAAAAGUUCUUAAAAGAUCAAGCGGUCGCACAUGUGCUCAUACAUAUGUACAUAUAUAAUGUAUGUAUAUAACAGACCAUACGCAUAAUGUUUGUAAAUUUGUCUACAUGCAACAUAUGUACAUAUGUAAAUAUGUACACUCAAUGCUUCAUGCGAAAUCUACGUUGACGCGGACAACCAAGUGCCGAAGCUCACGUUUUGUCAACGGACCUACUACCUUUUUUUUUAUGGCGAGAUGUAAAACAAUCAUCAAAAGACACUGUUGCUCUUACAACAGUAGUGUGGGACUUUAACCCACUAAAAAAAACAUCUCCUAACGACACAUAGCUUUGGUGAAAUGCCCUGCGGAACCACCGAUUAAGUAUUACAUCGCAGAGCAAGCUAAGCCUAUUGACUAUAACAUCUCAGGGAUUUUCGAACUGGUUUUGGCUGUUUGCCUCGCUAUAUCGCAGUCGUUCUAGCCUUCGCUGCUCUUGAAUAACCUUUGCGGCCCAGUGCUUAACAUGGUUCCACACCUGCUUCGACCGCAGCAUGUGUGGCACUAUGUUAUCUGGCAUUAUUCUUUCAGAAAUUUCCGUUUCUAAAAAAAUGUCCUAUCCUCCUCAUAUUUUGGGCAAUGAAAAAAGAUAUGUUCGGCAUUUUCUUUUCCAUAACCACAAGAUGAGCAUAUUUCUACCUCAUCAUGGCCAUAUUUGUGGAGGUAUUCCCUAAAACAGCCAUGACCACUUAAUAGCUGCGUCAAGUAAAAAUCAACGUCGCCAUGCUUUCUGCUAACCCAGGUCUCCACAUUUGCGAUCAACCUGUGCGUCCAUCGUCCUUUGGGCGCUGAGUCCCACAUAGAUUGCCAUUCUUUCAGACUCUGCUGUCUUUCUUCCUCGCGCUCUCUAGCUGUUAGGGGCCCCCCGCUACUUUUGCUUUUACUGUACACUCUCUCUAACUCACUAGCCAUUAUUUCAGGUGGCAUUAUGCCUGCAAUCACUCCUGCGGCUUCGUGAGACACCGUACGGUAGGCGCUGGCAACUCUAAGCGCACUUAACCGAAACAAGGACCUUACAGGUUUCGCAUACGUUUUUUGUUUUAGAGCAUUAGCCCACACUGGUGCUGCAUACAUGACUAUUGACUGAGUCACUUUUGCCAGUAAUAGCCUUCGGCUCUGACUUGGCCCGCCUGUAUUAGCCAUUAUUCGACUUAAAGCCGCGUUAACUCGCGCCGCUUUUUCACAAGCCUUCUCUAUGUUUGUUUUAUAGUUCAUCCUCGUAUCAAUUAUUACGCCUACGAUUCCAUCAUAGAGGAUGUUCCAUAGGAGUGGGCCUAGCACCGAUCCUUGUGGUACUCCACCAGUAACUGCAUACCGCUUUACCCCUUCAUCCGUAUCAUACAACAAUACUCGGUUCGAGAGGUAGCUAUUUAUGAUACGCAGAAGAAACGUUGGCGUUUUAAGAGCCUCUAGUGCUUUCAUUAUGUGGGCCCAACUAGCGGAGUUGAAUGCAUUUUUAAUGUCCAGCGUGACAACGGCGCAAUAUUUUUUGGAACCGUACAUCCAUCUAGUUCCCUCGAUGGCUUUGUCUGCAAUUUCGGUGACUUUUUUGAUUGCGUCAAUUGUCGAGCGUCUUCUGCGAAAGCCGUAUUGUUUGUCAGAUAAGCCCUUUACUUCUUCGAGGUGUUUUUCUAGCCGAUCACUUAUUAUCCGUUCGAGGAUUUUACCCAUAGUAUCGAUCAUACACAGGGGCCUGUAUGAACUUGGGUCACCUGGCGGCUUGUUUGGUUUGGGAAGCAGAACCAAACGCUGCAUUUUCCAUUUAUUCGGGAAAACUCCAUCCCUCAGGCACUUAUUGAAGAAGUCCGUAAAAUAUUUGGGUUUGACUUUGAUGGCAGUUUUUAAAGCCCUAUUUGGAAUGCCAUACAAACCAGGUGCUUUUGCGUUACCAAAACGUUCCGAAGCUUUUGCGACUUCAUUGUCAUCCACUGGCAGAAAAACUGGAGGCUCUAACCUAUCUAGGUCUACUGUUUACGUUUGUUGUUUUGGAAACAGAGUCUCUACUAUCUCCUUAAGUAGUAUAGGGCAGGUCGGCAUUUGUCCUUUGUCACCUCUAAUCUUUGUCAUUACCGCUUUGUACGCUCCAUCCCAUGGAUUUUCUUCCGCUUUAUCGCAGAGUUCUUUAAAGCACGCAGCCUUGCUUUUCUUGAUUGCUGCUCUGAGUUCUUUCCGUCUUGUUUUAAACGUUUCGCGUAGUCGCUCAAAUUCCAAGGUUCCUCUACUUCUUUGGUAUCUCCGGCGGAUUUUGUUGCAGUCACUUCUUAAAACAGCAAUUUCACCAUUCCACCAGUAUACUGGCUUUCGGCUGUAGUUGUAUUUUUUCCUUACCAUAGCAGCAUCGCAAGCUCUGCUAACAUGGUCAGUCAAUAAUUUUGCUUGUUCAUUCGCGUCAUUUGAACUGCUUAAUUUUUCGUCCAUCAUCAUUUUAAAUAAGUCUUCAUCUAUUGAUUCGUCUUUCCAUCCUCUACUUUGGGCUGUUUUUGGCCACCCAGUUCUCUUUUGGCAUUUAUUACUAUUGCAAGUGUCCAUUAUUAUCGCUUGGUGGUCACUAUGUCUGUAUAUAUCACAUAUUUGCCACUUCGUCUUUCCUGCUAGGGAUCUACUCACAAACGCGAUGUCGAUUAUGGAACCAUAUCCAUUUUUUUCAAACGUAUUCUUGGUUCCCGUGUUUAACAGCACCACAUCAAGUAACGAGAAUGCUUUGAGCAAGGCAUUCCCACGUUGACUUGUUUUUCUGCUUCCCCAUUCCAAGGCCCAAGCGUUGAAAUCUUCUGCUAUUAGAUUCGGAGUUGUUGUUUGGGCAUCUCUAACAAGUUCGUCAAGAAUUUUUUCGUACGCUUCUAGCGAUAAACUUGGUGGCAAGUAACAACUAUAGAUGUGGGUACCACAAACUUUUGCUCUAGCAUAGAACGAUCGGCUAGUCAGUGUUCUUUCUUGCACCGCCUUAUCGCCGCAGACCCAUAUUGCCACUUUUCCUGUGCUAUCUGAGACCCAUGUUCCUGUCUUUAGACUUUUGUAUUGCUCGCAUAUUAUUGCAACAUCCAUUUUCUUUUCGUACACUGUUUGUUUUAGCAGUUCCUGCGCUGCUUCGCAGUGAUUUAAGUUUAAUUGGAGGAUUUUCAUUUCCUAUUACUGCGUAAAUAUGUGUGAAGAUGUAUGAGCGUGCACACAUAUCGACGCAGAUUUUUGCGAGUCACGGAAAAAUAUUUUAGCUAUGUUGCCACUUUUGUCACUUCUUUCUGUGAAGAAGCAUCAGAAAGUUGUUCAAUUUAUGAUUUUUAGCUUUUGCCAUCGUCGCGAAAAGACGCUUGUGGGCAAAGGCUUGUUCGGGGAGAUGUGAAGGUGGUCGCUUUUAUGAAUGAAGCGAGUUUGCUUAUUGAAAGUGCGCUUGCGUUCAUGAAUGAAAUUGUUCUUGCUGUAAGAUUUACUACAUUUGGCUGCCAUAUUGACUUGUGACGCAGCUGAUGCUAUUUCAGACAUUUGUUGUUUUUGUAGAACAAUAUUUGUGAUUUUUGCGGAUGACAUAUCUACAUGUGAACGCAUAUAAGUAUGUAUGUUGUGUAUGCAUUAUUUGUGUGGGAAUGUCAUACGCACAUAUUUACAUGUGUACGCAUAUAAGUAUGUCUGAUGCCAUUUCAAACGAUUGUUGUUUUUGUAAAGCAAUGUUUGUAGUUUUUGGGGGUGACAUAUUUGCAUGUGUACGCAUAUGUAUACAAGUACAUAUGUAGGUUUGUGUAUGCGUUAUUUGUGUACCAAUGUCAUACGCACAUAUUUAUGUACAUAUGUACAUAUGAGCAGCGCGCACAUCUUAUUGAUAAGUGAUAAUAUGAUAAUAUGACUUGAAUUCUCGAAAGCGGACAUAAACACAUACAUAUGUAUGUAUAUACAUACAUAAGGUCAUGACACAUGUGAAUAUACAUGCAUACAUAAGUUUUGAAUGAUAAAAUAUACGAUUUAUUUACAUUUAUCACUAUUAUAAUAUAUAUAAUUUUUUUAAUAUAUUACGGUAGUUUGUUAUAUAUGUACAUAAGUAUGUAAUGAAGUAUACACAUAAGUAUGAAUAUAUCAAAUACAAAAAAUAAUUUAAAAAAUAGGCUUUAUUUCCACAUUAACUAAGAAUAUUGCUUUGAAAAAGUAAUAUAAUUUAAAUGUAUUCAAUUGCACAUGUAUUCAUUAAUAUGCACAAAAAGAUUUCAUACGAAUACACAUGUUUGCAUAUAAACGAAUAAAAAUAUAAGCAAAAGAGCGAACAAACGUCUGUUAGAGCAAUAUAUAGUUUUGAGCAUACUUUUUAUUCCAUGCUCAGCUCUGUUCAAGCAAAAAUGUUAAAAUUUCUCCUGCCGAGCUGGCAGUGGUGAAACACCUCCAUCUCGACCGAGUUAGCCAAAAAUAUUUUUACGUUCUUCGCGCCGUGAACCUUCUCUAUGAUAGACGUUCUCUGCUUAUAGCCUACGAUAUAUGGCAAACUAUGUAGUAUUCUAUAUCAAGUAAGCAAUGAGCAAUGUGGAGUCUGCACAGGCAGAGAUGCCCCGUUAUUAUAAUAAAAGUAUUUUUGAGAGUUGGUAACACUGUAAGGUUGGCACCAUCAAACAUGUCAACACAUUAAUUAUAUUUAUAUAUUUUGAAAUUUGAAAUUGAAAUUUAAAUACACGAUGUUAUGAGCAAAGUUGAUAUUAUGUUGUCGAUUCAAAAGUCUUGUUUUAAUGCGUUCUUCAAUUCGAGUGGAACUGAGAGUACAAAUACCGUCAAAUGUUUGACAGCAAG